UUACUUUUUCUCAAAAUCAGCACUAACAAUAUAAUCUAAGAUUAAUUUAUUUUGAUUAAAACAUAGGUCUUUAUAGGCAUUUUUUAUGCCGCUAUGAAAUAACUUUUCUAGCGAUGAAUGAUCUAUCUUCCGAAAUAAUGAAUUGAAUUCUUCCAAAAUACAAUUGGUUAUACAUUGAUAAUGCUAAAAUAACCUAAAUAUGUGACUACAAAUUAUACUGUGAAACAAAAACAACUCUUUAAAACAUCAUUUAUAUUGAAACAUAAAGUACCAAUUUAGCUAAUAUCAUAAACAACAACAACAGCAGCAAAAGAGCAACACUAAAACCCAACAUUAUAUCCACAUAAUAUAUAAUACUCCAUUUCAUUUAGCAUAAAUCUACUGUGGUUCCCUAUAUGUGGAAGUUUGAAGUAAAGUUGUCAUAACGACAUAAACGAUUCAAUCAUAUCCGAUAAGAAUAAAGAUAACAUAUGUAUUAUGCAUAUAGACACAACAGAUAUAUCUUAAUUGGAUGAAAGUUUAAAUGGGUAUGACUUAAACGGAGAUCGAUACCGUGUUUGAGCUCAAAAGAAGCUUGAGAAGCCAAUCACUCCAAGUGAGAAACAAACGAUUAAUCAUCACCAUUAAGAAUCUGAUAAUUUAAAUCAUUAAACUUCUUGUUAACUUUUAAAUUGUGUUGGUGAAUCCAGUAGAAAGGGCAAGGGAAAAGCUACACAAUUCAAAGAAUAUAAUCAUUGAGACUAAGUUGACUUUACCUCACUGUAGAUGAAGUUUAUCUGAUAUCUCACCAACAUGAAAAUCUCAUAACCAUCAAACUACAAAAAUUCCAUUUUAGAUUAACGUUUUAGAUAAUCUUUCUGAUUGACUCUGUAAUAAUUUUACCCUUCACCUAAAAGGUAAAAAAAAAUUGAAUUUAUUUCAUCUUCUUGACUACAAAACUAGUGAAAAGUAUUUGAGACUCAAACGAGAGAGUUAGGCUAGACUCCCAUUGUGGUCGUUUUUUUUUCAUUUCCUAUUUUAGUUCUACUGGAUGAUUCUAAAAAUUAGAUAACCACAAAUAUUUUAAGAUAAAUUUAAUUUUAAAAUAUUUAUACAAUUUAAUAACCAUAAGAUUUAUUUAUAUUAAUUAUUUGAAAUUUAGAAGAGGAGUAGAGGAAUUGUUUCAUCGCCCUAUGUCCAUGUUCAACCAGCCAGAUUUGAAGUUAUUUAAAGAUAGGGAAUAAUUCAUCUUUGUAGUUUCUAAAUUUAGACUUGAGAGACCUAUUCUUAAGCAAGGAGAAAAAGAAUAAUGGAAAGAGGAUCUGAUCGCUUAGCUUUAAUCACAUGAAAAAAUUGGCAAUAUGGGUCGUGGCCAAGUUUGCAAUUUGCCCUUUGGAUCCGUGAAUGUUUUUUUGUUGUCUUUAUGUGAAAACAAGUUCUUAACGUCUGAAGCGUAAAAGCAUUAUUAUUUUUGUGUAGAUAAAUAAUAAAGAACUUUGAUUCUAAUUUUGUUAAGCUUCUGAGAAUCACAAAGACACAACUUAUUUUCCUCUGGAUGGUUUGCUUAUCCAUUUACUUUAAUAUGAUUUCUGAAUCAAAAUCUAUGCGUUUUUGACCACACACUUAUCAUAUUAGUUUGUAUUAUUAUUGCAUAAUGAGGGUUCAAAGUUAGUAGAGUUUGCUACCAUGUGAAUUGUAUAGUCAGAAACAAACUUGUCAAGAUCAUGUUUAGAAGUUUAGAAGUUUUUCGUUUUUUUUAAGGCAAGUUUUAUGAUAAGAUAAAAAAAAUACAUAGAAAAUCAGAAAAUAUAAUGAAAUGAUGAUUUCUGAACCGGACCGGUGAUUUUGCAUUGGUCCUGGAUUUUACGCCUAGCCCAAUCUAUAACCUUGAGCUCUGUUUAUCUUCAGUCUUAUAGUUUUAAUGGUUUCUCUAAUUUAUCUGGUCUAGGGUCUCCAGAACACUAUUCUCUUAUCGGGCAUCCAUACUGCUGAAACACGUCGCAGUUCAUUGCAUGUCUUAUACAAUAAAUGAGACUUUUGUCUCUCCUUAAGUGUCUACAUCAGCAAGGAGGGAGGGGCAUUUUCUGACACGUGGCACGUUAAUUAUUUUCUGAUUUCAAAUGCUUUUGUUAUUUCUAGCGGGCUGGGCCUAUUGUUUUGUCUUUGUUUAAAAAUAGAUUUAUUUUCGUUUGGGCUUCGUUUAAUUUGUCUUUAUAUUACUGUUAUACUAAUUUUAACUAGGCUUUUAAGUUGUAGCCAGGUUUAACCAUAAUCUUUUUCAUCUCUUAGAAACUGUAGGCCUACCGAUUCCCUUUCACUUUCUCCUGCGAUGUAACGAUGUAGUUAUGACCUUUAAUCACGUUAUCCCACUAAACUCACAACCACCCCUCUUCAUUGCUUCUUUAAUUACACAUUUUAAAGCUUAAUUUUGUGUAUAUCUACACCUUCUGAGAGCCCCCUGCAAUUCCCUUACUUUCAUAAAACCUAUAAAUAUAUCGCCCAUGUUCUCUUUUAAUGGACGAUAGUUGGCAAUUUCUCAGUUUUAUUUCUCUGAUUUGAGUGAGGCGGCUACAAACAGUCAGUUCAGGCAAGAUGCCUAUGUGUUUCUCGGAAGCCAAUAAAGUAAUGAAAAGAGGAUAGACAAAUCCAGGAAUCAAUUAAUGUGCAACUAUUCAACACCUUAAAAAAAUGAAGUAUCUAGCUUAAUGUUUUGUAUUUCAUAUGAAGGAGCAACCCUUACUUCCGGUUUGGAGAAAUCCAUGUUUCUAUUAGAUUUACGGAGCAAACCGUGUUUGUUGAGGUCGCUGAAACCGAUUCCAGUGGAGAGUUUUGGGUUUUGCAAUUACUAACACCUUAUGGUUUUGGCCAACACCAACACAGAUUUUUUUUUCCAGGCCGCCUUUUCCUCAAUGCAACCUCCGGAACACAUUUCUACUUUUACCAAGAAAGUGUAACCAGCCAGAGCUUUCUACAAGACUAAGUUUUGUGGAUCUGACAUUGAUAGCUCCUCCACUCCUUCCAAGUAUGGCGGUGUACAGAAAAUUGAGUUAGCAACAAUUGUGGAGUUUAUUGUCUGUGUCGUGAAUUCACCACCUCAGGCGGUACGGUAGAAUUCCACUGCACUGGCCAAGUCGAUGACAUUGAGAAAACUGACGGACCAAUGCUUCAUCAUUAAAGCUUUGCUUACAAGGAGGUGGUGACUACCCUGGAAAUGAUAUUCUGGAUGCUGUGACUCUCACUAUUAACCCUCUCAUGUGAUGGGGAGCAGUGGUUCACAUAAUACCACAUGAAGUAACACUGCUCCAAUUUUUGAAGGAAGCAUGGCUGAGUCAGCAGUACUACCUGCCCAACCUGAUGCAUUUUUAGCACCCGAAAGGAUACCACAGAGCCUGAGAUCUCCAACCAUAGAGAUCCAUGACAAUAUUAAUAUAGGUGAAGAACCAAUUCCACACUGAACGUGCUAAGUUUGAGUCAAUAAUUUUUCUACAUUAUAUAGAUUGUCGUCUUUUUAGUUUGCUUGGUUAUAUACUUAUAUCAUAUAUAAAUACGUUGAUCUCAUUACUGUAGGAAUUUUUUACGGCUCUAGCUAUUACAUAUUCCUAAAAUUGUUUAAUUUUUUUAAUUUCCAAUACUUGAUUCAUCAUCAUAAAUUUUUGGAAUAGUAGAUGUAGCUUCUCUUUUGAUUAAACAACAAAUAUAGGACACCUUACUAUUUUAGUUGUAUACAAAACCAGACGUGAGUUUGCAUUAACUUAGGGCAUCUCCAAUGGUGUACUCACCAUUGGAAUCCUUAGGUAUAUUAUAUUAUUUUUUUUUCUAAAUAAUUAAGGAUUCUAAUCAAAUAAUUAUGUCCAAUGGUGUUAUUCAUUAGGAAUCCUUAAGAAUAAAAAAAUAAUAAAUUUGAAAAUAUUUUUAAUUUUAAAAAAAAAAAUCAAAACAUGUUAAAUUGAAAUAUUUAUUUAUUAAAUUGAAAUAUUUAUUUAAUACAUGAUUAAAUAUGAAAUACAACAAUUAUUAGUUUUCAUCACCAAAUUUGUUCCAAAUAUUUUCGAUCAAAUCAUUCAUCAAUUGGUAAUAUGUUUCUGGUAUCAUUUUUAAACACAAGACUUUCAAAAUUUAAUCCGAUUCAAAACCCUAUUAAACUCCUAUCGAAUGAUACCUCUAUCGAUUUGAAACCUUUAUUACAAACGAAAGAUACCCAAAAUCGAUUGAAACAUAAAUCGUGAUGAAACCCGAUUCGAUUGAAAACCCUAAUCCCCAAUUCCGUAACCUAAUUUGCGAAGAAAACCACAUGAAACCCUAUGUAAAUCCAAAGAAUCAGAGGAGAAAGAACAUAACAACCCGUCGAUUCAUCAACCCUACCCGGAGAGAGCGAAUCGCCAAUCGCAGAGACAAACUUUUUUUUCUCCUCUCCACUACAAAUGACACGAACCAGAAAAACCCUUCACGCGAUAGACAAAACUCAACUGCCACGUCAACAAGGAUUCACGCAAAAAAUUUUUUAGGAAAGGAUUGAUCCUUAAGCAAUAUGAGUUUAAUAUUAAUAUUAUAUGGUUAAUAGUGAAGGAUUUGUACUUUAGGAUUUAUUAAAAACCCCUGUUGUACAUGCUCUUACUUUUACUGACUCAGGUUGGCUAUGUGGAGAAGAUAAUUAUAAAAAGAGAAAGAAAAUAAUAAUUAAAUAUUAAUACACAAUCAAAACAUUUUAGUUUUGUUUCGAAAAUAAAAAUAACAAAACAAAACAAACAAAAAUGAUUAUUUUAUGACAAUCAUAAUCUGAGCUUGGUGAAAAGCUUAGUUAAAAAAUAAUAAAUUUAGACAAAAUACUUAAUAAAAUAAAUAUGAAAUCAAUAAAAACUAAUAAAAACUAAAAGAAGAGAAAUUCAUUUAUAAUAUUGCUUAACAUGUUUUAUAAAAUCCAAAUCAAUUAAAAAAAUGAAUCGCAUGAAAAAAAUGUUCAUUUGGUAAGCAAAAUCAAAGUUAAAGGAAUUAACAAGAAAAAGGUUAAUAACCAUAGUUAAAGAUUAAUACAUAAUAAAAAUAUAUAAUAUAAAAAA